rnacentral:misc_RNA from 1 species
CAACAACGAGCUAAGUUUUGGGAGGGCUUGCCCUCCUGAGAAGCUGAGUGAUCAGGACAAGAUGACAUCUUGAUGACUUUGGUAUGUAAACAUUGACAGUUGCAGGCUAGUUAUCUGGACGAGCAAGACGAAGAGUUCCGAACGCAGCACUUUUGUUUUGACUUCGGUCCAUUGCCAAUUCCGCAUUUCCUAUUUACCAAAAAGUGUGGGGGCAGAUUUAUGUGGGCUAGUAAGUGUAGGAUAGAUUGAUAAUGGACGGCCGUUUCCCUUGGAAAGUAAUUUUGUUGGAAUCCAUUUUUCAUUACCAUUUUCCUUAUAUUCUCAUUAUUUCAGUAAUGUUUGAAUUCAGUAUACCAGGAUCUUCCCCUGCAUCUAUUUGAGUGCUUUCCAUUUGGAUAUUCAAUGGCACUGUUUACUCUAAUAAGGUGUUUAUGCAUGAAGACGCUCCUCCAGAGAACCUGCUCAGCUGUUGAUGUUUACGUUUCGAACAGCUGAUCGCACACCUGGCGGCGGAAGCGAAAACUACGCGCUGAGCAGUGGUACCAUACGCGGUGGAGGAUUUUGUUACAAAGAUGGAGGAAAUGCAAGGAACACAGACUGAGGAAAAGGCAACUCAGCAAGACUGUCGAGCAGACUUACGAGAGAGAUUCCUGUGGGCCAUUACUUCCUUGGUAGGGAAGGAAGCAACUAUCAAUAUGCAUGAAAAGACACGUGCAAGUGGGAUAUUCCGUGGUAUCGAUAAGGACAUUCUGAGUAUGCAGAUUCAGGAUUUGAAAACCCCUUGCAUUGUCUACCCGCGGGCAAUGAUACGUGUACCUGACUGCAUGACAUUGCAUUUCAAGUUAUAGCACUUGUUAUUGGCCCUUUACCUGCUAGUUAGAUAUAUAUAUAUAUAUGUAUUUGUUAUAUAUAUUUUUUAUUAAAAGAUGAAGUUUA